UGGGGGGGGUUUCAGUGACAGUGCACCCAGCAGAGAGUUACAAUGUGACAGUGUACACAGGGGAGGGGGGUUACAAUGUGUCACAGUGACAGUGUACACAUGGGAGGGGGAGUUACAGUGACAGUGCACCCAGUAGAGUGUUACAAUGUGUGACAGUGUACACAGCCGGGGGUUACAAUGUGUCACAGUGGGGGGCUACAGUGUGACAGAGCAGUGACCCUGAUAAGAACACUGAUGGUUUAAAUGGCUCAGACUUGCAGAAAAUAACACUUCCUACUUUUAAAAGGACCCUCC